GAAAUGCGAUACCUGGUGUGAAUUGCAGAAUCCCGCGAACCAUCGAGUCUUUGAACGCAAGUUGCGCCCGAGGCCACUUGGCCGAGGGCACGCCUGCCUGGGCGUCACGCCAAACACGCUCCCACCCCUCAUCGGGUUGUGGGAUGCGGCAUGUGGCUCCCCGUCUUGCAAGGGGCGGUGGGCCGAAGAUGCGGCUGCCGGCGUAUCGUGCCGGACACAGCGCGUGGUGGGCGAACUCGCUUUACUUACCGCAGUGCAUCCGGCCCAUAGCCGACGUGAUGGCCUGAACGGAGCGCAUGACGCUCCGACCGCGACCCCAGGUCAGGCGGGACUACCCGCUGAAUUUAA
rnacentral:misc_RNA from 1 species